rnacentral:rRNA from 1 species
GUCCUACUGUCUCCUUUUUCCAAUCAGUGAAACUAAUCUCCCCGCUGAAGAAGCGGGGAUAAAUCUAUAAGACGAGAAGACCCCAUGGAGCUUCAAACCAGCUUCAACCCCACCCCCCCCACACCCUUUCAACCCCGGGGCCCUGUGUAUCUGGUUUUCGGUUGGGGCGACCACGGAGCAUAAAAAAACCUCCAUGAUGAACGAGCCUACCCUCUUACCUGAGAAUUACACCUCAAAGAACUAGUAUACUAACAUAAAAUGAUCCAAUAAUUGAUCAACGAACCAAGUUACCCUGGGGAUAACAGCGCAAUCCAUUUCAAGAGCUCCUAUCGACAAGUGGG